AUCGCUUCUCAGCCUUUUGGCUAAGAUCAAGUGUAAAAAUACUGAAAUUUUAAAUUAUGAUAGACUAUGAUUUUAGAUUUAACAUGUUAAUGAUUCUAAUCAUUCCUGUAACUUCUUAAAAAGUGUCCCGACUGUAGAGAUGAAUUAUAGACUAAAA
rnacentral:snRNA from 1 species